rnacentral:piRNA from 1 species
UCCCAGCAAGAUCCCUGUGCCCAAUAUCUUUA